UACGUAGGGGGGCUAGCGUUGUCCGGAUUUGAUUGGGCGUAAAGAGCGUGUAGGCGGCCAGGUAGGUCUGCUGUGAAAACUCGAGGCUCAACCUCGAGACGUCGGCGGAAACCAUCUGGCUAGAGUCCGGAAGAGGAGAGGUGGAAUUCCUGGUGUAGCGGUGAAAUGACGCAGAUAUCAGGAAGAACACCCGUGGCGAAGGCGGCUCUCUGGGACGGUACUGACGCUGAGACGCGAAAGCGUGGGGAGCGAACAGG
rnacentral:rRNA from 1 species